UACGUAGGAGGCAAGCGUUGUCCGGAAUCAUUGGGCGUAAAGCGCGUGUAGGCGGCUCGAUAAGUCUGCUGUGAAAGUUCAGGGCUCAACCCUGAAAUGCCGGUGGAAACUGUCGGGCUAGAGUCCGGAAGAGGCGAGUGGAAUUCCUGGUGUAGCGGUGAAAUGCGCAGAUAUCAGGAGGAACACCAAUGGCGAAGGCAGCUCGCUGGGACGGUACUGACGCUGAGACGCGAAAGCGUGGGGAGCAAACAGG
rnacentral:rRNA from 1 species